rnacentral:rRNA from 1 species
GAGGGAAUCUUACACAAUGGACGCAAGUCUGAUGGAGCAACGCCGCGUCAGUGAAGAAGGCUUUCGGAUCGUAAAGCUCUGUUGUUGGUGAAGAAGGAUAGAGGAAGUAACUGGUCUUUAUUUGACGGUAAUCAACAAGAAAGUCACGGCUAAGUACGUGCCAGCAGCCGCGGUAAUACGUAGGUGGCAAGCGUUGUCAGGAUUUAUUGGGCUGAAAGCGAGCGCAGGCGGAAUGAUAAGUCUGAUGUGAAAGCCCACGGCUCAACCGUGGAACUGCAUCCGAAACUGUCAGUCUUGAGUGCAGAAGAGGAGAGUGGAAUUCCAUGUGUAGCGGUGGAAUGCGUAGAUAUAUGGAAGAACACCAGUGGCGAAGGCGGCUCUCUGGUCUGCAACUGACGCUGAGUCUCGAAAGCAUGGGUAGCGAACAGG